AAGAAGUUUUAUUCUUGCUUUUUCAUUCAGUUUUUGUUUGUUCUAUAUGUAAGUUUUUGCGUGAUUUUCUAUGAUUCUAGAUGGGUUGUUGAGGUCUUAUUUAUUCUCAUUAGUUGUUAUUGGUUGAUCAAGUAUACUUGUAUCUAGCAAUAUGUUUUAGUUUCGGUUAAAUUUUGUGCCAGCAGCUGCGGUUAUACCUUGGAAGCGUUUGAAUGUGUUCGGUGUUGGUAGUUAUAUUUUAUUUUGUUAAGAUUCUGUCUUGUUUGGUUGAUUAGGUGAAAUUUUUAUUUUUGUUUUUAUCUUUUAUUUUUUUGGAAGCUAUGAAAUUCUUUUUAUAAACUAGGAUUAGAUACCCUAUUAUUUUGGAAUGUUAAAUGUUUAUUUGCCUGAGUAGUAUUAGUUAUGUUCUUGAAACUUAAAGAAUUUGGCGGUAUCUCAUUCCGUCCAGAGGAAUCUGUCUCGUUAUCGAUAGUCCACGUUGGACCUUACUUGGAUUGCUUAUUGGUUUGUAUACCGCCGUUUAUUGAUUAUCUUUUUAGAGUUUGAGUAAUUUUCUUGUUUCUUUAUUUUGAUUUAUUUCAGGUCAAGGUGCAGCUUGUUUCUAAGUGAAUGAUGGAUUACAUUAUUAUUUGUUUUUGGAUUGUUGGUUUUAAUAUUGGCAUGAAAUUGGAUUUGGUUGUAAUGAUUUAUAGAUUGUUUUCAUGAUAAUGGUUCUGGGAUAUGCACACAUCGCCCGUCGCUCUCGUUCAAAGUUAUUAAUGAGAUAAGUCGUAACAAAGUGGUUGUACCGGAAGGUGCGGCUGGAUUGAU
rnacentral:ncRNA from 1 species